rnacentral:lncRNA from 1 species
CUGUCUCUCUCUCUCUCUCUCUCUCAAAAUUCUAGAUCUGAUUACUCUCUAGGUUCAAAUCCUCCCUUCUUCUUCAGGUUUUUUUUAAUGAUGCUGAGAUUUUAGUAGAGAUAUGGAAAAUCUGGUGGGAUUCAUCUGCCGUCGAUUUGAGCUUUAGCUGAGUACAAGACUAGAUCAUCGAGUAAUAUUAAUUAUAUAGGCUUCAAUCCCACUGCCUUUGACGGCGACGAUACAUCAGAUUGUUGAAUGGAACCAAGAAUCUGUUGCUGUUUUUAAGUUAGAUGGGGUUUUCAGGGAUGUUGCAUUCAUGGUGUUCGAUAGGAAAAGGCACGGUUAGCGUCGGCACCACCUUAUCUGUCUCUAGCACCAAAAUCUAAAAACUUGAGUACCACGCCGCGGUUACCGGAUUGAGUUUUGCAUCAGAAUCUUCAACGGAACCGAUAGAACUUUUGAUAUGCCCAGCUCAAGCUAUCACUAUUGAAGCUGUGGAACGAGAGGAUGGGAGCCGUAGAACGAGGUAUGAUAUUGACAUGACAAAGUGUAUUUAUUGUGGGAUUUGCCAAGAGGCAUGUCCAGUUGAUGCAAUUGUUGAAGGGCCCAACUUUGAGUUUGCUACUGAGACUCAUGAGGAGCUUUUAUAUGACAAAGAGAAAUUGCUUGAAAAUGAGGACAGGUGGGAACCAAGAUAGCUGAGAAUCUAAGAUCAGAGAGCUUAUAUUGUUACCGGUUAAACAGUGUUUGCCUUUCAUAAUGUUGUUAUUAGAAUAAACUGAAGGCGAUUCUGCAAUGUGUUUUGAUCAUGCCCUACUUCUUGCAGCCUACUCGCAUGUGAAGGGGCAUGAACGAGGCAACUUGAACGUGACGUGCGUGCUUAAGCUGAAUUGUGAGGAGGGCAAAUGAUGAUGAUUGCAACUAAACAUGGCAGAUGGUGGUCGGGCUUCUAAAGUGGCCUCAAGGGACUCUUUGCAUCCAAGAUUAGUGUUGGAUUGUAAUUAUUUAUUAUACAUGUAAGCAUUUUAGUUAUUUUUAUUGUAG